ACGCUUUUAGUUCAGCUUGGUCAAAUGUGGGUCUCCAAAAUUUAAUAUCAUAGGUUCAAAUCUUAUAAAACGUA
rnacentral:tRNA from 1 species